CGAGUCGCGAUGGGGUAUAAUAGUAACUGCAGUUGUUUAGUCCGGCCAGAUCGUCGUCGUCUUCGAUUUCAACCUCGCCGGGAAAUUUCAAAACGUCAUUCAACAGUCAAAUCAAUCACCAUUCUCCGACGUAUUUUCACUCUAAUGUGAGAACCUCUUUCAUUGGGAGAUGGUCCAAAGUAUAAAAUAUAGUCCCCUUCACCUUCACCAUGUCCCUAAUGGUAUUAUAUGUGGAAGGAGCUCCAAGCAUGAAAUUGGAAAACGAGAAUACUUAAGUGAAUGCAAGAUCAGUCCAGUGGUGGAACCGCCACAGUAGCUACAGCGUCACCUCUCACCUUCAAAGGCAGCAACCUUCAGGAUUCUCAUUCUCAGAAGCUACACACUUGCUUUCAUUCACAGCUACUUGUCAUCGUUCUCAGCGCUUCUUCAGUUUGAAUCUGCCAAGUAUUUAUGUCAUCCACCCAUUUGAUUACACAUUUUAGCAACAUCACCACCAUUUCAUGAACCACCAACGAGCUCCACCAUAGCUUCCUUUGCCAAAAUUCAAGGUUCCUAAACAACCCUGAAGUUGGACAUAACUUGGACCCUUAUUGUGGAAGGCCAAUAUGAUGAUUUUUUUGCAACAUCUUGCUUCUCUUUUCUUAUUUUGAUUUGUAAGUUUGUAACCAGAAGUGGUGCCAACAACAAAAUACAAAUCCAAACCCAUUUGUCACUUCACUGUAAUGUCACUUUAUUUACUCGAACCCAAAGGACGACCUUUGUUCGAACAAUGUAGGUACCAUUUGUA